UACGCCCUAAACGAUGAUCGCUGGGUUUUCGGAGUAUCGACCCUCUGAGAGCCGAAGCUAACGCGUUAAGCGAUCCGCCUGGGUAGUACGAGCGCAAGCUUAAAACUCAAAGGAAUAGACGGGGACUUGCACAAGCGGUGGAUUAUGCGGUUCAAUUCGAUGAUAAGCGAAAAACCUUACCAAGGCUAGAAAUUCAUAUGAAGCUAGCAGAAAUGCAAAGCGUCUCACAAGGACAUAUGGACAGGUGA
rnacentral:rRNA from 1 species